GGGUCCUGAGGCCUCUACCCACGUGCGCAGCCCCGAGCUUCUUCCGGAUGGCGCCGGAAAAUGACGUUCGCGCAGACGCCUCAAGGGUCCACAGAAAGACAGCCAAGCUUAGGAAUUCCACCACAAGAGGGAGCAAGAGACGUGGAGCAGAGGAGCAGAGGUGUCCACACAGGGUCCGAAAGAAGGUGUUUCUCCCUGAAGGCAGUCAGUGCAGACAUGGAGGUGGAUUUUAUUCUCAUUCAAGAGAGAAGGGAAGGGAAAGAAAUGCCAGAGCGAGAAACACUGAUCGGAUGCUUCCUGCACACCCCCAACUGGGGAUUGGGCCCGCAACCUGGGCAUGUGCCCUGAGUGUGAAUCGAACCCGUGACCUUUCAAUUGUGGGCCUACACUCUAAUUAACUGAGCCAAGCCAGCCAGGGCUUUACUCUUUUAUUAAAAAGAAAAUUUAUUAGCUUAGCAAAGCAUACUAUAUAGGGUCAUCCUAAGUGAUAUUUUUAAACCAGUUAUUGAAAGUGGUUUAUAAAAAAUUUAAAACAUAUAAGUGUAUUAAUUUACAUAGGAUAGUGGCAUAAUACAUUUCCUUUGGGGCUUAAAAGAAUAUACAUAUCAGACAAAGAUGCAGAGCUUGGGUAUGAGUGCAGAUGGUGUGAUAUCGAAGUGUUUUUAUUUUCUUCUUGGACCCAAACACCUUUGAGUUCACAGCUUGGGUCCCAGUGAUGCUCCAGUUAUCUAGUUAUGUUUUUAAAAGUUUAAUUCACCCUUAGGAUACAUAUGGGAGAAUUUCUAGUUUAUAUAAAACUUUGGGUGGUUAAUAAAAGAAUACAGACAAAUACAAGUUUUGGAGGUUAUUCACCGCAAAAUAAAAGGCCACAAUGAAAAGCAACAACCCUUUAUUUAGGAUCAA